UACUAAAUACCAGGGGAAAAGGCCUGGAAGAAGGGAUAGACAGAAUUUUUUUAAAUGUUAUCAACUCAUGAGUUUUGCUUAAUACAGAGCAUUCAUCUGGCUACAGCACUUCAAAACAAAGCAGUGAGUUAUGUGUUUUUACAUUGACUGAGCACGUCCUCUGCUAAAGCUUAUUCCAUGCCUCACGUAGCGGGAGCAGCUCAGAGAGAAGAGGCAACUUGCUCGAGAAGGAUGGCAUGGCUGGAGUGGCAGGCCUGGGUCAGACCAGGCUGAGGCUGAGCUGUUCACUUUCCUUGGACAGCACCCAGCGAAGGGCUCAUCUCAGUCGCCAGGAGAAAACAGCUCAAAGCGGGCAAGUCAGCCGUGAGGAGGAGACUGCACAGACCUGGAGGAUGGCUUGAGAAGCAAAGGCAGGGCCACGUGGCAGAGGGAAAGCAGCUGGGAGCCUACGAAGCAGAAGGUGGCUUCCUGACCACCCAGAAUCAGAGACUCCGCCCAUUCCAGGAAGGGCCAGAGGGCCCAGCCCAGGGACUCCGGCCUGCCCUCCGUCCCCACCACCCUGUUGGACCCUGUUGAGGGAGGUGUCUCGGCAUCCUGGCAGUGAGGAUGGUGGCUAAGACCCUCAGACUUGGAGUCUUACAGCCCCAGGUUCAAAUCCAGCCCCUGCCACUUGCCAGCUGGAGAGCCGGACAAGGGACUUCGCCUCUCUGAGCUUCUGUUUUCUCCUCCCAAAAAAGGGGGGAUGAUAAGAAGCUUUUCUCAGGGAGCUAUUAUGAGGUUCAGGGAGCUUUUGUGUGAAGGGCAAAGCAAGCACGCCAAGAACACUGAGGCUGGAAGGUGGCACGCAGAGGGCUGGAUUCUGGCCGUGCUUGAAUCUGCCCACUAAUGCCGGGUGAGGAAAUGACACCAAGAGGAAGAGCAAUUGACCCGGGGAACCAGGAUCGCCAUCCACAUCUGUGAGACUCUGACGCCCAGCUCUUAACCACUGCAUUAAAGGAAUGGGCUGUGAACUCGUGGGGUCUGGCAUGAAGCCUGGCUGAUGUGGAACCAAGGGGAUCUUGGUGUACAUGUCACUACUAUGUCCUUACCAUUUACUGGGGGAGGGGGUGGGUGGCAGAUUUUUAGUCCAAUUCUCGCCUUCUCCCAUUUUACAGAUGUGAAAAUUGAGGUUUGGGAGCAAAAAUCUCUUCACAGAGUCACAGAGUCAGGCUCAUCUUCCCUCUGCUUAGUCCCAGCCCAAGAGGUGGGGUAGGGGGGUUUAAGGAUGCAGCUCUGGAGUUGGAUGAUUCCCUGACUAGGUAGAUUGUUGUUCUUCCGAGCCUCGGUUUUCCUAUGCUGUAAAAUGGGCUAUCGGGAGGUUUAAACAAGACAAUAGCAAAUACUCAAAACUCUCAGCAAUUAUUUUAUUUGUGCCAUGAUGCAAAUACAUUGGGCGUAGGACCAUUUUUGGGGUCCUCUUUCCCUUCCUAUUCGCUCUCUCCUUGCCUCCAUACAGUUUUUUUUCCUCUCCCUGAAAUACCAGGGAUUAGUAUAUUUAACCCCAGGAGGAGAAGGGUUCCCAGACCCUCCCCCUCCUCCCAGCUACAGAAUACACAGGCUUGGCAUUCUCAGGGCACAUGGGUGGCCAGUGAAGAGAAGCCUGGUUCUUGGAAUAACAACAACAAACACAAUUAGGGACCAGGGCCCUUGAAGCUUUUCCGGAGACGAGAUGGCUCAGGCCCAGCUGCCCUCAGGCGGCCCUUGAAAUGCCAGAGAGUUCAAGAGGCCUGCCAGGCGGGCAGCUCCCACGGCCCCUUUCAGGGCGGUGAAACGGGGCUGUCAGAGCCUUCAGUCACUCAGAACUGCAACGCCAAGACUCCGACAUGACGCUUUAGCCACAGGGGACAUGAGUUCGAGCCCUGGUCCAGGAAGAUCCCACAUGCCACGGAGCA